rnacentral:rRNA from 1 species
UACGAAGGGGGCUAGCGUUGUUCGGAAUUACUGGGCGUAAAGCGCACGUAGGCGGACUACUAAGUCAGGGGUGAAAUCCCGGGGCUCAACCCCGGAACUGCCUUUGAUACUGGUAGUCUCGAGUCCGGAAGAGGUGAGUGGAAUUCCGAGUGUAGAGGUGAAAUUCGUAGAUAUUCGGAGGAACACCAGUGGCGAAGGCGGCUCACUGGUCCGGUACUGACGCUGAUGCGCGAAAGCGUGGGGAGCAAACAGG